UCAACAUCAGACUCUCUCUACCUCUGGAGGUUGAAUAUCAGGAUAACAACACAUACAGAUGUGUACUCAACAAUCCCAUCACAAACCAAACUCAACAUCUCAACAUCAAGAAUCUCUGUCAGACGUGUUCAGGUCUCAGUACAGAUGAUGUCAUUGUGAUCUUUCGUGUUGUUGCUGCUGUUGCUCCUGGAUUUCUGAUGUGUGUCGCUUCAGUUCUGAUGUUCUGGAUCUACAGUAAACACAGAAACACACAUCAACAGAUUCAGACUGGGGAACUGGAGAUGACUUCUCCAGACACAACACAUAAGACG